CCCCCCUCCCAAGAUAUAUUUAAGUUUAAUUCAAUUUAAACAUCACCACCUUGUUUCAUGAGAAUCGGUCCUUCAAAUUUAGCCCAAACCCCUUAAUAAUUUAGCCCAAACCAUAAAAAACCAAGCGGAUAUCUCAUCAUUGGUUCACCUCUUCCUUUAUAUAGGUUGUUAAGCAUAUUACUUUAUUUCCAAGGUAAGAACAUCUCAUUGUUGUGAUUUCUUUACAUGUUACUUGAAAAGAGCGGGGAGGAUGGCAGCAC
rnacentral:lncRNA from 1 species